rnacentral:rRNA from 1 species
UACGUAGGAGGCAAGCGUUGUCCGGAAUCACUGGGCGUAAAGCGCGUGUAGGCGGAUCGCUAAGUCUGUGGUGAAAGCGCCUGGCUUAACCGGGCGAGGUCCAUGGAAACUAGCGGUCUGGAGGCCGGUAGAGGGGGGUGGAAUUCCGGGUGUAGUGGUGAAAUGCGUAGAGAUCCGGAGGAACACCAGUGGCGAAGGCGGCCCCCUGGGCCGCGCCUGACGCUGAGGAGCGAAAGCGUGGGGAGCGAACAGG